AAAAUAACAAAGGUAAAGGUAUUUUCACCUUAUCUUGGCAUAGCUAUCAACAACCUAUUUUCGAUCCAAACCUGUUUUCGACUGGCACCGGAAAAUAUGUAAAACUCAUGGAUUGCACGUGACUUCCGCCUAGGCAGGUCAUAGGAGGAUCAUACAGAGUGGGGCCAGUGAUACCAGGGUUCAUGCUGGGUGCAUUUAUCCGCUUUAUCAUGUGAAAACCAGAAGUGAUGCAAAUGGUACACAUUAGAAAAUUAUGGUCCAUGUGAACACGUUCUGAAGACGUUUGACGCCAAAGUUUAGAGAUUCAAAAGUUAAGCAGUAUUUAAUUCGAAGAUCUACUACAACUCACGAGCCAUAUGCAGAACCAGAGAACAGAUGUUGUACCAGUGUAACACAUGCGGUGAUUAAGUCACAGAAACUCUGUACACAAAAAAAAAUCAUUUGAAAAUACUGAAGUGAGACAUGGACUGCUGCUUACCAAUUAAUUUUACGGACACACGAGGAAAGACAUUGAAGUGUGAGACAUAUGUUGAAUUUGUGCCCAUAUAUUUAUUUGAAUGACGCUCACAAGAAACUGAAAUAGACAUUUAACUUAAUGUAAAAGUAAAACAUGUAAUCAUGUUUUUUUCUCAAAAGUGUUCUCAAUAGAACAUGUUAAAUAUCGCACACCGGAUAUAUAUAUAUAUAUGUGAUACAUUCGAUGAUGCUUUCUCUCUGAUGGUAAUUUGGAUAUAGGAAAAAGAAACAGCUGUGAAGAAAUACAAUUGUAGAAUAUGUUAUCCUGAGUUUCUUGAAAAUGGAGUUUCAGAAAAAGAAGGAGAGUAAACACAUGGGAGAGAAGCCAUACAAGUGUGAGACAUGUAAUGCGUCUUUCUCCUUGAAAGGUCAUUUAAAGGUACAUACAAUAAUUCACACAGGAGAAAAGCCAUACAAGUGUGAGACAUGUAAUGCGGCUUUCUCUUUUAAAGGUUAUUUACAGUCACAUGCAAGAGUACACACACGAAAGAAGCUAUACAAGUGUGAGAUUUGUGAUGUUGCUUUCUUUUUAGAAAGUCAUUUACAAGCACAUACCAGGAGACACACAGAAGAGAAGGCCUACAAAUGUGAAACAUGUGAUGCCGCUUUCUCUAAGAAAAGUCACUUUAUGGCGCAUACAACAAUACACACAGGAGAGAAGCCAUACAAGUGUGAGACAUGUGAUGCUGCUUUCUCCUUGAAAGGUCAUUUAAAGGCACAUACAAGAGUUCACACAGGAGAAAAGCCAUACAAGUGUGGGAUAUGUGAUGCUGAUUUUUCCCUUAAAAGUCAAUUGCAGAGACAUAUGAGAACACACACAGGGGAAAAACCUUUUAAGUGCGACAUUUGUGAUAGUGCUUUCUCUCUGAAAUGUAACUUACACACUCAUAUAAGAAUACACACAGGAGAGAAGCCAUACAAGUGCGAUAUUUGUGAUUCUUCUUUCUCGCGUAGUACUCGUUUACAUAGACAUAUGAGUAUACACACAGGAGAUAAGCCACACAUGUGUAAAAUAUGCGGUGUUUGUUUUUCUUUGAAAAACUACUUGCAGGCACAUUUGAGAAUCCAUACAGGAGAGAAACCAUACAAGUGUAAGCAUUGUGAUGCUGCUUUUUCGCAGAGAAGUAGUUUAGGGAGACAUAUAAGAGCACGUGCACGAAAAGAUGCCAUGCAUGUGUGAGAUGCUGCAUUUGUGCAGAAGAGUAGUUUAUUGAGACUUAUAAAAAUAAAAAACGAGAAAUACGACAUACUAAUGUUUUAAUAGUUGUGCAAUUUAAUACUUCACACGAAAAAGCCGAACAAAUUAAAGAGUCAAAAUCAUGCUUUCCGAUACAACUUAUAUGGCGAUGUAAGAUGCGUUGUUUACUAUGUAUUAUGCGCGAACGGAGACAGCCAAUCUGAAGCCAGCAACCGAGAAGUAGGACAGCGAUGAGGUCAAAAUGAGAUCAAGUUGUACAGGGCCUUAUAAGUUAACAAUAUAAUGAACUUGACUGUGAGGAAAUGAAACGUCCUUUUUGAAUAUGACAUUGUUUUAUUUACUGACACAUGGAGGAAUGAAAGGUUUAAUUAUGAUGUUGACAUUUUUACUUCGUAUGUUGUACACAGAAAAAAUAAAGCGAAAACAAUCGAAGAUAAACAGUGGUAGAGUAAUGAUUUGCAUUCAUAAUAUAUUAAAAUAAUAUGUUCAAUUUGUAAAGCAUACAAGUGUUUGUACACAAUAGAUAAGAUUAGAGAGGAAAGUAUUUGAACAUGAACAUGAUGUUUUUUUGUGCCUUACUUAUUAUGUUUUACAAGGUUGAUGCAGAGAAUAUUUCAUUGAAACUAGUGUUUUUGAAUUGAUAAUAUAUGAUAUAUUGAAAUUCACUCAUACGUAUGAUAGUACAUGUAAGAAUUUCAGUGUGUGAUUUUGCUGUAAAUGACAAUAUUGAUGUUUGUUAGGAAAGCUUUUACUAGAUGCUUAUAUACAAGAUGAAUAUUUAUCAAGAAUCAAUUCACAAGACUGUGAAUGGAAAUUGGAAGAUAUUGUUAGAUUUUAGUAAGAUGUCUGGUUUGAGGUUUUUGAAAGGAAGUAUAGGAUUAAAUUGUGAAAUAGGAAAAUGUACAUAUAAGAUUAGAUUGAAAAAAAUAUAGUAGAAUCUCGAAGCUUGUAUAAACAAACUGUUAGAAAAAAGAAAUGUGUUUAGAACAAGACGGUUUAUUCAAAGAAAGGAAAUAUUAUACACAAUAUAUAUUUGAAAUAGGCCAACAUGACCCGUGAUCAAAUCAGUCAUAGAAUAUGUAAUGGUUUACGUAUGGAAAUACAAAUAGCGAACAUGUAAACUAUUAACAAGUAUGUUUGUAUCAAAUAAAUAAAUAGCAAUUUCAUCUUAUGAGUUUGACACAUAUCAUAAAUAAUAAAUAAAUGAAUUAAACUCUAAAAUAGUACAUUUGUAUCAUAUUAUUCACAACAGUAUUUACAGAAUUUGAUAACUUCCGAAUUACGCCCCAUUCACUCUGAUAGACAACAAACAGAAAGGUUAGAGAAUGCUAAACUUCAUUGGAAUAGGUUCUGUUGUAGCAAAUGACAAAUAGAAUUUAUCAGAUUAAGAUUUUCUUAUGUAUUUCAAAGUCAUUAAUGGUCCAGACUCUUUUUUCCAACCUGAUGGUGAUGUUUUGUAUUUUCAUGAUAGAUAUUUAAUUGGGGAGUUGAAUGUGGAAUUAAAUGACUCAUUUACACAUAAUGAUUUUAGUAAAGGUUGUAAUUUGAAUUGUGACAUAGCAGCUGGGCUGGAUUAUUUGUUAAAUGAGUGUUUUAAGUAUUGUAUAUAUAGAUUUAGCUUUUUAAAUUUUGUGUGUACUCUGUUUUCACAUUGGAUAUUUUCCUGCGACAUGGUCUGAAGGCUUUAUUGUUCCUUUACAUAAAAAGGUUUACACAACUAAGGUAUAAUAGUUGUGUUGUACAUUUGCUAAAUUGUUCACAAAAGUAAUUAAUAAUAGAUUAAAUAUUUGUGUAUAUUGAGGCACAGGUAGUCUUUAGGCAAAAUAUGUGCCCGGUUGAUCAUAUUGUUGUACUUGAUAGUAUAAUUUGGUUGAAGUUAUGAGUUAGAGGAAAUAUUUUUCAUGUAAUAAAAUCAAUGUUUUCCAAUGCUAAGUCAAACUUUAGCUUAAUGAUUGAAUGGGAAAUGAAGAUGUUUCUUGUUAUAUAGGUGUACGAAAAGGAGAAAGUUGAUUGUUUUUUUUUUCAAUGUACAUAAAUCAUAUAGAAGAAUAUUGCAUGUUGAAUGGUUUCAAAGGCAUAGAUAUUGGCAUUUUAAUUGUUUUUUAUUGCUUAAUGGUGAUUAUAUAAUACAUAUGGCUGAAUUUAAGGAUGAAAUAAAUUAAGGUUAUAUAUUACUUGAACAGUAUAAUGAUAGAUGGAAACUAAGUUUAAACUGUACCAAGUCUUAAAUAAUGAUCUUUAAAAAAGGUUGAGAUAAGAGAUACAAAAUAGAUAUAGUUAACCAUUUUACAUACUUAGGCAUUGUCUUUACAAUUGGAGGCUCUUUUUCAAAAACUUAUGAAUUACUAGCAGGACAGGCAUCAAAAGCAGUUUUUUUUUAAAUUAAAUUAAUAUCUUAUUGAAUUUCCAACAGUAUCUAUAUCAAAUUUUUUUUUUUUUUAUAGAUUUAUUCUACCAAUUUUAAUUUUUCGAUCUGAAAUCUGGGUUUUAGAAAUAGUUCAUCUGAAUUUCUACAAAAAACUUUUAGGGGUUAGAAUUCAAAGUCAAAAUAAUUUCAUAUAUGGUGAGAUUAGAUGUUGGUUAAAAGAUAUUAAACUAGAGGAUAAUAGAUAUGUCUAACAUGGUUACUCUUAUAUGUGUAGAUAUUUAGAAACAAGGCCA